GCCUUCCUCUAGCAGGUCAGAAAGAGAUAAUUCUCCAUGAAUUUCCUGUGUUUCUGUACCUCCGGAGAAAAAACACUGGAGCUGUCCCACACCCGGUGCUCCUCCAGCCCUCACGGGUUAAUUAAUUAACAGGGGGCAGUUAAUGCCAAGGGGCUCCCCUGCCCCAAGGCAGCCACCAGAGAGGAUGAGGGGGGCUCGUCCCGUGUCCCCUCACAGCCCUGGCUCUGCCGUCCCCGCUCCCGCACAGCCAAGGUGGAGCCGAGGCCUCGGCAUGCCGAGCUGCCUGCACUGUGAAACCCACAGGAACUUCAUAUCUUUGAAACCUCUCCCACUCUGUCAGGCUUGGCUGGAGUUUGCAUGCGGUUAUUAGAGAAGAGGACAGG